rnacentral:rRNA from 1 species
AGCGUGGGGACCGACAAGGAUUAGAUACCCUGGUAGUCCACGCCGUAAACGGUGGGUGCUAGUUGUGGGUCACAUUCCACGUGAUCCGUGACGAAGUUAACACAUUAAGCACCCCGCCUGGGGAGUACGGUCGCAAGACUAAAACUCAAAGGAAUUGACGGGGGCCCGCACAAGCGGCGGAGCAUGCGGAUUAAUUCGAUGCAACGCGAAGAACCUUACCAAGGCUUGACAUAUACAGGAAAAGCGUAGAAAUACGCUCCCCGCAAGGUCUGUAUACAGGUGGUGCAUGGUUGUCGUCAGCUCGUGUCGUGAGAUGUUGGGUUAAGUCCCGCAACGAGCGCAACCCUCGUCCUAUGUUGCCAGCACGUAAUGGUGGGAACUCAUGGGAGACUGCCGGGGUCAACUCGGAGGAAGGUGGGGAUGACGUCAAAUCAUCAUGCCCCUUAUGUCUUGGGCUUCACGCAUGCUACAAUGGCCAGUACAAAGGGCUGCGAUACCGUAAGGUGGAGCGAAUCCCAUAAAGCUGGUCUCAGUUCGGAUUGAGGUCUGCAACUCGACCUCAUGAAGCCGGAGUCGCUAGUAAUCGUAGAUCAGCAACGCUACGGUGAAUACGUUCCCGGGCCUUGUACACACCGCCCGUCAAGUCACGAAAGUCGGUAACACCCGAAGCCGGUGGCCUAACCGUAAGGAAGGAGCCGUCGAA